rnacentral:rRNA from 1 species
UACGUAGGGUGCAAGCGUUGUCCGGAAUUAUUGGGCGUAAAGAGCUCGUAGGCGGUUUGUUGCGUCGGCUGUGAAAUCCCGAGGCUCAACCUCGGGUCUGCAGUCGAUACGAGCAAACUAGAGUGUUGCAGGGGAGACUGGAAUUCCUGGUGUAGCGGUGAAAUGCGCAGAUAUCAGGGAGGAACACCGGUGGGCGAAGGC